GACCCCAUAGCUCAGUGGUAGAGCGUGAGAUUCCAGUCAGUUUAGUAAUCCUUCGUGACUUGACUCCUCAAGGCCAUCCGUUCGAUCCGGGUUGGGGUCA